rnacentral:rRNA from 1 species
UACUGUGCUAUAUGACUUUAAAGACAUCAGAUCAUGUCUGAUCUUAGAUGCUAAACAAAGUCAGCCCUGGUAAGUUCUUGGAUGGGUGACUACUAAUGAAUACCAGAUGCUACAGGUU